rnacentral:misc_RNA from 1 species
AAAUAAAAAUCGGUGUUGUUGCUGCCUUUCGUGGUGACGCGUCGGAAUUGAGUCUUCUUAUCUUUGGUUAAGUGACUUAAAAUUUUUAUAUGAUUUUCGAACGUAUUUAAAUUGCUUACGUACGUUUGAGAUAUCGAAUAUUUUAUUAGGUUCGGUCAUCCUUAUGACUCGUGUCUAUAAUUUUUUCAUU